GUGGCCCAACGGCGGUCGGCCGCAAGGUCUGUACUGCCGGUUUUCGGACCACCUCUUUCUGGGGAAACGUCGGCCCUUAACUGGGCUCGGCGGCGGAACCAGGACGUUUACUUUGAAAAAAUUAGAGUGUUUAAAGCAAGCGUACGCUUGAAUACAUUAGCAUGGAAUAAUAAAAUAGGACGGCAUGGUUCUAUUUUGUUGGUUUCUAGGAUCACCGUA
rnacentral:rRNA from 1 species